rnacentral:tRNA from 1 species
AGUAAAAGAGUGUUUUGUGCACGUGGAGUUUUGGUCUCUGAAGAAAUAAUUCAUUUUGUUUUUUACUA